ACCAUACUGGGCAAUGCAAGUCUGGUCUCUUUUGUUUAAGGAGUUGAAUGGUAAAGAGUAAAGAGAAAUAAGGCCAUGUUUUGAGGGGAGUUGGAUCUAGUGAGGGUUUUAUUUAGUAUGAGAUGCAUGCAUGUUGACUCUGGGGGACAGAGAGGGGAGAGCCUGGAGAUGGAAGGAAAUUAAAAUGAUGCCUCAUCCGGGAGGCAGCUGUAUGGGAGGGGGAACGGAGGAGAGAGCGUGGAGGGCGGUGGUAUCUAGGUCCCAAGACAAGGAUGAGCUUUGCAGUUGGUGCUGGUUGGGUUCUUCUUCUGUAAUUACAGGCAGACCUCGGAGAUAUUGCAGGUUUGGUUCCAGACCACGGCAAUAAAGCAAAUAUUGCAAUAAAGGCCCUUCUUGAAAUCCGGCUCUGUCUUGGCUGGUGCUACCUGAACAGAGGAACCGGAGGAAGAUGCAAAGGCUCUGAAUCCCAAGGGGGCCGUCCAGAGCCAGGAGAAUGUACAUAGCUCACUUAGAAGCAACACUUCAAGAUGUUGCUGAAAGAAAGCUGGGCUGCAUGAGGAUUGCUUUGUGCUAAAAUACAGAUUCCCAGUGCGACAACACCGACUCACCGGGAGCCAGCAUCUACUCUGCGUCUGCUAGAGAUGAGCACCAGAGCGCCGGAUGAGACUUGGAAACAGGCCGUCUCUCCUCUACACAAUUUCUUUGAGUUUCUUUCACGGACACAUCACAAGAGCAAUUUGCACAGGGGCUACGCUCUCGAGAGCAGGAGCAUGCCUUGUGAAAGGAAUCUGAAACUGUUGUCCGAUGUGUUUUUACUAGAUCUGGUCACCACCACGCCAGCUAACUGACAACAUCAAAUGAGGCAUAACUUCCUGCCCUCAGAGCCUUGGAAUGUAGUCGUGAAUCACCACCCUCUGUGUUACUGCCUGGUUGUUGCAAUAGGAAGAAAAAUGAAGAACGUGACGUCCACGUUAGGAAAGUCCUUAUCUGUGAUGCUGUAGCUUUGUGGCUCCAUUGUAUACUCUGCCUUCCCUUCUCUCUUCUGGUUUUGCAAAGAGCAGGCCUGAGAUGACAGUCCCAGAUCUGCACAAACCUUCCUGGACCCCUACUUUUCUCAGAUGUAUAAGGUUGUCACUUACAAAGACUUCAUUACUAAUCAUCAGCUAUAUCUUGGAAAAUUCUUGUACAAAAGUAUGACAUCUUAUAAUGGAUACCGUAUAACUGCUGUAAGUUCACAGUGUCUGCCUUAAUUUAGGGUUAUUCACACAUUUCAUCUGUUAGUGACUCAGUUCUGUGGCAAGAGCCCUGUGCCAAGAGCAGAAGCUUUGCCCUUGACAGAUACCACAGUGUGGUGAUAAAGGAAGCUGUUCUUUCUUCUCUCCCUGUACCACCUUCCAGACUUGAAGCCAGCACUUCAGAACAUCACUAAAAACCAGAAAGAAGUUAAAGAAAAAAAAAAGAAGGGGGGUGAAACAGCCAAAAUAGAGGCCAUAAAGUGUGUGUGUUCUUUUAUCUUAGGGAAUCCACUUAGCGUGACCCACCCAUAUUGAUUAUUUUACAAACAAUUCCAAGAAGUUAACUUCUAAAUCCAUUAGCGGAAAAAGAGGAUGUUGCUCUAGACAGAUACUGACAGUGGACCAUGUGGCAACCUUUAGAAAUAGCAAAGCUGUAACUGGAUACUCCGUGUUCUGUUUAAGAAGGCAGGAAAGUACGCAAAACAUUCUAGAAAUUUUUCUACUCCUGCUCCUGACAAUGUAAAAAUGUAAAAGAGAUUAAAAACCUCAGCCAUCUGAGAAGACUCACUCCCAGAAAGCAGCUAUGUUUAAUUGUAGUUAAAUAUUUAUUGUCAGUAAGUCCUAAGUCAAGUCCCUGGAGUGUGCUGGUUAAGGGAACAUCUCCGAAGGCAAAACAAGGGCCGUUUCCCUAGAACCCCCUGAACCAGCCUGGGCUAAAUGAUUCCCAGAACUUUCUUCUGUCCUUCCAGACUUCGGGGAAUUAUCUCAUUUUGCAAUAAAACCUGCCACUCUUUCCAAACACAGUUCUAUGUGUUUAAGUUUGGGUGGGGGAGGAUAUAUUGAAAGGUGACCUAAAACUAACUUUUUAAUAAUUUAUUUUUAUUUUUCGGCUUUUGCAGGGGCAGGUAAUUAGGUUUAUUUAUUUAUUUUUAGAGGAGGUACUUGGAUUAAACCCAAGACCUCAUGUAUGCUAAGCAUGCGCUCUGCCACUAGAGCUAUACCCUCCCCCAAAGAGUUUUUUAACUUUCGGCAGUCCUUGAAAGGCAACUGUUUACUCAUUACAAGUGUGGAUGAACGUUGUGGAAAUUUUAGGAAACACGGAUAAGAACAAAGUAAAACUUAUCAUUUCAUUCCAAGAGUUCGGACUGUGAACAUACAUCCUUCCAAUCUUCUAUCUUUUAAAUUAUUUUUAAUUGAACAAGAGGUACAUAAAUACAUGCACAUUUUAAACAAAACUAGUGCAUCAUAUAUAAAAAUAAAUUACCCAUUGACCACCUCUUAUAAUCCUAGACCCUUCCUUCUAUCUAAGUGACCAACCUCUCUUGGGAGUUUGGUGUGUUUCCUUCCAGAAACCUAUAACUGUAUAUUGAUGUGCUUGUGUGUUGCAUUUACAUAAGAGGCAUCAUAUUAUAAGCAUGAUUUUGCAAUUUAACAAUGUUUUGGAAAUCUAAAGUUAUAGUAUAUAGACCAAGUAUAUGUCUUUAACUGCUGCACAGUAUUCCAUUGUAUGGAUAUACCAUAUUUUAUUGUCCUUUCUCCUUUUAGUGGAUCCUUAGGAUCGUUUACAAUUUUUCACUACCUCCAAUAAUGUUGCAAUAAAUGUCUUCCAUGUUUUUUUUCAUAUCUUGAGGUUCUAAGUUCCUACGAAAGGGAAUUGUGGAUCCAUGGCUGUGCCCACGUUGCCUCUCACAUGACUGUGUCACUUUGAAGGAGGAAAAGAGAAUCUAAAAGUUCCUAUGUCCCAGCAGUCUUGAUGACUCUUCACCUAUCAGACGUUUCAAAGUGGUCAGUGUAUUAGGUGUAAGGCAGUAUUUCUUCAAUGUUUUUAUCAGGCAACUACAUCUUCUUACAUGUUUUUGCUCUUUUAUGAAUUCCCUAUUCAUAUCCUUUCCUCAUUUUUCUAAAGGGUGUUCUUUUUUUUUUUCACAUAUAUCUGUUGUACUCAUUCUUUAUUAUGUAAGUUGCAAAACUCUCCCAGUCUUCAGCUUGUCCUUCACAUGGUUUGGACUAUCUUUUAUUAUACAAUUCCUUUUUUUUUUUAAACAAUCUAGAUGAUAUUUAUUCAUUAAUUUAAUUUAAAUUGUUCAGCCUCUUAUUAUAUGAGUUUUGCUUUCCAUGACUUAUUUAAGGUUUCCCUUUCCCUGGAAUCAUAAUGAUAUUUCCCUAUACUUCUUUCCCUAAAACCUUAAAAUUUUUUAUUUUGAGGGUUGAGGUUUUUAACGCAUCUAAACUAUAACUUUGUGUACCAUGUAAGGCAGAAAUUUGCUUGUAUUGAUUUUGCCUACAUAGCUGAUUCUCUCAAUAUCGUUUGUUAAAUAGUGCAUUUUUCCCAGAUGAAUUGAAACGCUGCUUGUAUCAUAUAUCAAUUUCCUAGUAUUGUUCCUGGAUUCUUUGUCAAAAUCAUGUUUUAUUGACCGAGUUCUAGUCUUACAACGAAAUGCCACUGAUUUACUUGCUCUGCAGUGUGUGUGUGUGUUUACAACCUGCUUUUGUUUUAUUACCUGCUGUUUUUACUGAAAAACUGCAUCAGGAGAAUGGAGAAAUUCUGAGAGUCACAUGAUGGAAUAUAGCAAUUAAAAGAAACUAAAGCUACACAUAUCAGCGUGGAUACAUUUCUCAAAUGCAAGGGUGAGCGAGAAAAACAAGCUGCCUCAAAAUUUCUUGGAGAACACCAUUUAUAUAAAGCUUGAAAUAUGUAACACAAUUAUUUAAUGUAGGUUAAAAAUACAAACGGCAUACAAAUGAAAAGGAAAUUCACGCGAAGGCUAAAAACCAAAAUUCAGGAUUAAAGGUGGAUUUACCAUGAAGCUUAAGUUCAGGCCUCUCAGUUACACAGAACCCAUCCAAGGUCCUCAGCUUGAAUUUGAUUUCAUUAUUGUGUACUUUGUUUUCUUAAAGAGACUCUUCUUUCCCAAACCGUAUUAGCUUCAUCCUCUCCCUAGAGGAAGGGAGAGAUGGGGAUGAGAGGGAAGGGGGAGAGGGGAGGGAAGAAGAAGAUGCUGGCUCCCCGGUGCCUUCCCUGACACCACUGGUCAGCUCUUGGGCACUCGUGCCUGAAGGCAUGUUUACUGCAAACUAGAAGGUGGGACAGCUAUUGGGUUGAUUACCAUUUCAGGGCCUUGCAAAGUUCCAGGCCUGGAGGACACAUAACAGAAGCCACUGGGCAGGGAGGGGUUCCCAAGAGGGCUGCCAGCUGCUACACUGAACCCUUAGCCUAUUUUUCCCGCCCUGGUGCGCCAUUUACAUGAACAAAGAGCUCGCAAAAUCAACUAUACUUCAAUUUAAAAGAGAGAGCGAGAGAGAGAGAGAGAGCUCUCAAAACGCAGAGGCUGAGUGCUUUGGGGUUGUGCCCAGGAAGACGGUUUGAGACAUCAAGGCACCCUGGAGCCACAAUUCUGCCCAGUUCUUUAAGCUUCCAGACUAACUCCUACUUCUUCUACUCAAAGCAUAUGCCUUUUUUUGUUGUUAAAACAAACCAACUAGAACAAAGUAAAUAAAUGACAGUUAUUUUUAAAACAGCAACAUACACCAUGAACAUCUUUCCAUGUGAUUAAGUAUUCUUCUACAACAUUUUUAACGGCCACGUAGGACAUAUCAAAAUUGAUUAAACAGUCACUAGCGUUAGACAUUUAGAUUGGUUCCAGUUUCUGUUCAAUGCAAAUAUUCCUACAGUUGACCCUUGGCAUACAGAAUUAUUUCUUUAAAAAAAAAAAACUUCCCAUAAGUGGACUUCCUUUGUCAAAGAGGCUGAGUAUUUUCAAGGCUUUUGAGGGAGAUCGCCAAGGACCCCUCCAAAAAUGUCACAUCAAUUCACACACACAUCAGUGGAUGAGAGUGUCUCGUUCCCCAAACUGAAGCCAAUGUUAAAUGUUUACAUUAAAUGAAAAUAUGUUGUCCAUUGGGUAGAUACAAAAUGGCAUCUCAUAGCUGUAAUUUGCCCUCAGUCCCAAGAUUAAAUCGCCAUGGUUCA